GGGCUUCAAGGGGGCAGCCAUUUUUUAAAAUCGGAACAGCCAUCGGAGGAGCAAUUUUUUCAAUAAUUACGGCGGCAGUGUGUGGAAAGCGCGGGAGGGUGCAGAUUACAAGCACCCAAAGCUUGUUUUUGAGUUUGGCCAACUUUGCUGGCAUCUCCGUCUGGAACACAGAGACUUCACUGCACUGAGAGACAUAUGGACCCACGGUAAUAUCAUCCACUCGACGAUGGUUGGUGGAGGUCCCUGCAUGUUCAGAUCAGACCUGUCAAUGUGUUGAGAGGCGAGCAGCAGAAGAAACAAGAAAGUCAAGUAGG